rnacentral:rRNA from 1 species
UACAGAGGUCCCAAGCGUUGUUCGGAUUCACUGGGCGUAAAGGGUGCGUAGGCGGUCGGGUAAGUCUGAUGUGAAAUCUCACAGCUUAACUGUGAAACUGCAUUGGAUACUAUCCGGCUAGAGGAAUGGAGGGGAGACUGGAAUUCCUGGUGUAGCGGUGGAAUGCGCAGAUAUCAGGAGGAACACCGGUGGCGAAGGCGGGUCUCUGGGCCGUUACUGACGCUGAGGAGCGAAAGCGUGGGGAGCGAACGGG